AAGUCGUAACAAGGUUUCCGUAGGUGAACCUGCGGAAGGAUCAUUAACAAUUGUCCAUUUUCCUUUGCAUAUGGAUGGUUCAAAUCCAUAUCCACCUUCGUGUGCACAUCAUUGACAUGUUUGCUUUGGCAGUUUGCAGGGAGAUUCUUUUACCGGUUUCUCCGUGGAGGGAAAAGAGGGGAGAUAGACAAGGUAGAGAGAGCAGGGAGAUUUUCUCUCUGCUUCCCCUUCCCCUUCUCACCUCCCUUCCUCCGGCGCUGCCAGAGUUUUUUCUUUCAUCUUGACGAACUUUUCUUGCUU
rnacentral:misc_RNA from 1 species